UACGUAGGGUGCGAGCGUUAAUCGGAAUUACUGGGCGUAAAGUGUGCGCAGGCGGCAGAGCAAGUCGAGUGUGAAAGCCCCGGGCUUAACUUGGGAAUUGCGCUCGAAACUACUUUGCUGGAGUGUGGCAGAGGAAGGUGGAAUUCCACGUGUAGCGGUGAAAUGCGUAGAGAUGUGGAGGAACACCAAUGGCGAAGGCAGCCUUCUGGGCCAACACUGACGCUCAUGCACGAAAGCGUGGGGAG
rnacentral:rRNA from 1 species